AAUCUUAUAUAAUAUGAUUUAAUAUUAUCCAAAAAAAUAAAUAAUGGAUAUUUGAAAAUAAUAGUGCGGCAGCUGCAAAUGCAAUUCAAUUAUUCAGCUCAGAGAAAAAAGCUCCAUUCUCACUCUCGAGGAAGAACAAUUUUCCCCACACAGAUCUCGGAAGCAUUUUCUUCAGGGUUUGAAAAUUUUACGGAAGGAAUUCGAUGGAUUCAGCAGUUGCAAGCCCUUCUACUCCGAAAUGGAAUGUAGAUCGCCCUUUCCUAACGGGCCGAUUCCACCAGGAAAAGAAAUCUGCAUCUGGGGUUGCUGAAUCAAAGGGUUUCUCAAUGGAUAUUUUUGGUCCUGGCGUAGACAAGCCCAUCGGUUGCUACCAUGCAGCGAUUCAGGUAAAGUUAAAAAAAAAAAUUCCUUACAACCAUGUUUAAUCCAAUAGUUAUUUAUUUUUUGUGCUUUAUAAUACACGAAGCUGAAAUUGAUGGAUUGUGUGCCUGGGAUUAUGUAGUGAAGUUAAAAAGUAAACUAAUUACUAUGGACACUGAGGCUUAACCUCGCAGUUGGUCACCUGUUCUCGUUUUCUUUAGACCCAUUUCAUGUUAUAGACUUUGUGCAACUA